ACACCUCAACUCUCAUGGUCCGCCAUGUGAGCUUGGACUUUGGGGGCCUUGCCGGCCUACUGUCGGCUCCCCUCAAACGAAUCAGCUUGCCAGUGUCUGGUGGCAUCACAGGUGUGAUAACUAUCUACGCUUGUGGUCUACUGCCAGGUAACCUCCAGUGAUGGAGGUUCGCUGGAGCUCACAAAUGUCUCUCCUCAGCGAGGACAGCUUCUUGAAC
rnacentral:misc_RNA from 1 species